rnacentral:rRNA from 1 species
ACGGAAUAGAUACCCAGGUAGUCCACGCCCUAAACGAUGUCUACUAGUUGUCGGGUCUUAAUUGACUUGGUAAACGCAGCUAAACGCGUGAAGUAGACCGCCUGGGGAGUACGGUCGCAAGAUUAAAACUCAAAGGAAUUGACGGGGACCCGGCACAAGCGGUGGAUGAUGUGGAUUAAUUCGAUGCAACGCGAAAAACCUUAACCUACCCUUGACAUGGAAGGGAAAUCCCUGAGAGAUUGGGGUAGUGCUCGAAAGAGAACCUUUACACAGGUGCUGCAUGGCUGUCGUCAGCUCGUGUCGUGAGAUGUUGGGUUAAGUCCCGCAACGAGCGCAACCCUUGUCAUUAGUUGCUACGAAAGGGGCACUCUAAUGAGACUGCCGGUGACAAACC